GAUGGCGUUGGCGUCUCCAAGUGAAAACGCUGUUGCCGCUAUUGAUUGAUUGCCUUUUUCCCUCCAUUUGCAAAUCACAACACUCAUCAGCUUUCUCUCUCAGCCACUCUCCCUCUGUCAUUUAAUCGAUUGCAGAGGCUUCACGCCUGCGUCAAUGCGCUUUUGACGAAGCUUUUCUUUAAACAAAGCCGAUAAAUUCUUGUUUUCCUCUCAGCUUUUUUCGAACUUUCUUCUACAAAAGUCGCCCAGAACAAUCGAUGAGUUCUCAGUAGAAUUGUUUGAGGAUCCAAUAGCUUCGAUUUCCUUUUGCUGGAGUUGAAUUCGUUCUCGUUUCGGCUUCGGCACAUUUUGAUUUCUCCAGCGGUGCCAAGAACUUUCUGAGAACUUGUAAGGUCAAUGCAACGGGAUUCGGGAAGCUCGGUUCAGAUCUACGGAUAAGAAAGCGUUGUUGAAGCAGCUUUGGCAGCUUCGAAUUUCAAUAUUUCGACGGAGAUUCUUGUUUUUGUCACUUUUCAGUGAUUCUCGCGGAAGAGCUCGUUUUGCAAGAGUGGGAGGUCUGAAGAAGAGUUUCGGAUAAUUCUUCCAAUCAUUCCAAGAUUUCCCUUGUCUCGAGCAGAUCACUUGAAGGUGCUCUGACCAGCAAAGGGGUGCAAAAAGCAAAAGACGUUUUGGAGCUUCCGAUCUCUGAUCUUCUGGCGGCAAAAGUAGCGGCAAUGGUUGCAGAGGCUUGGAUUUUGAAGAUGGGGAACCAAGUAAGUCACAAUCUCAAGCACGCUCUUUCCCUUGACCAUUCCAGGAGAAAGAACAACAAAAAGCUAGAACAGAAAGAGACCAUUGGCAUUCUGUCUUUUGAAGUCGCAAAUGUAAUGUCGAAAACUCUACACCUCCACAAAUCCCUAACCGAUCAGGAGGUUUCUAAACUUAAAAACGAGAUCCUCAAAUCUGAAGGAGUAAGAAACCUUGUCUCCUCUGACGAGUCUUACCUUCUCGAGCUAGCCGUUGCUGAAAAGCUCGACGACCUGAACCGUGUGGCUGCUGUUGUUUCUAGAUUAGGGAAGAGGUGUACUGAGCCUGCAUUGCAGGGUUUCGAGCAUGUUUAUGCUGAUAUUAUAUCUGGAGUUAUUGAUGUGAGGGAACUCGGCUUCUUGGUCAAGGACAUGGAAGGAAUGAUAAGGAAGAUGGAGAGGUAUGUAACUUCGACUUCGAAUCUCUAUAAUGAGAUGGAGGUCUUGAACGAGUUGGAGCAGGCUACGAAGAAGUUCCAGAAUACCCAACACGAGGAAAGUCGCCGGGCCUUUGAGCAGAAGGUAAUCUGGCAGAGGCAGGAUGUGAGGCAUCUAAAGGACGUUUCGCUGUGGAACCAGACCUACAAUAAGAUUGUAGGAUUGUUGGCGAGGACGGUUUGUACAAUUUAUGCGAGGGUCUGUAUUGUGUUUCGCGAAUCUCUUUCAAGGCCUGGCUUCUCUGUUUUAGGGACAGAAUCCUCCACUGGAAGAGAAGGUUCAUCUCCUGCUCAGGAUCAGAGUGGACAACUUUCGGGCCAGAUUGACUCACGGCGUCAUUUUAAGCUGAUUUCUGAACCAUUACAACGGGCUUCAAGCAAGAGCAAUGCUCAUAAGUCGGGACCUAUUGAGAAAGUUGCAGGGGAGACAAAGGCGGCAACUGCUAGGCCGAGGCUGGUAUCACAGAGAAGUGAAGUUUUUUCUUUUCGUGAUGAAGAUUUCAUUUUUCCUUGCGGGGCUAAUCCUGGAAAGCUCUUCAUGGAAUGCCUUAGUUUGAGCAGUUCUGCUUCAAUGCUGGAUGAUGACUCUGAGCAUGAUCAGGACCACAACAGUUCAUCUUCAGGUUAUUACAGUGCUGGAAAUGGGUUGAGGAGGGAACAUCCAUAUCGAUUUGGUUUCUCUGGCCAGGUUGAAACUGGUGGUGCUCUAAGCAGAGAUCAGAGACAGUCCAAGUGUAGUUUGCCUAGCAGAUCAAUAUUUGGCCCCAAUAGUAGGUCAAUGGUAUAUGCCACUCCUUCCACGGUUGGAGGCUCUGCUCUUGCGUUGCAUUAUGCCAAUGUCAUAAUUGUCAUUGAGAAGCUGCUUCGCUACCCCCAUUUAGUUGGUGAGGAAGCUAGGGAUGAUCUGUAUCAGAUGCUACCGACGAGCUUAAGAAUGUCAUUGAGAAUGAACCUCAAGUCUUAUGUUAAGAAUCUGGCAAUAUAUGAUGCUCCUCUUGCUCAUGAUUGGAAAGAAACACUUGAUAAGAUACUGAAAUGGCUUGCACCUCUGGCACAUAACAUGAUCAGAUGGCAAACUGAGCGUAAUUUUGAGCAACAACAAAUUGUUACAAGGACAAAUGUUCUUCUGCUCCAGACAUUGUAUUUUUCUGAUAGGGGAAAGACAGAAGCAGCUAUCUGUGAGCUUCUAGUUGGUUUGAACUACAUAUGCCGUUAUGAGCACCAGCAGAAUGCCUUACUGGAUUGUGCAAGCAGUUUUGAUUUUGAUGAUUGUGUGGAAUGGCAUGUCAAACAAUGAUCUUUGUACAUUAUGUGACUUAUUGAUGUUGAAGAAUGGGCAUGGUGGAGACCUUGCUGUGAUUUCUGAUGCUUGUUUCUGGACAUUCCUGGACUUUGAAACAAUGUGGAUACAGAGUUUGGCGCUUGGAAGUGUUACAUGAUGUACAAUACAGUAACUGAUUGUAUUUUUCUUGUAAGAUUUCUUACUGCAGCAUGAAGGUGACAUGAGACUUAAAGAGAGCCCUUGAAAAAAGAUGCAAUUUUGAAUAUGCAGGGACAUAAGAUUCCUGUAUAUUUUUCUUUUAUUUUUUUAUCUGCAUCCAUAUAAUGUUGAAAAGCUAAUGAGGUGAUUGCCCUGUGGUUCUCUGAUAGCCAUAUAAAACCAUUUGAUGUUGGAUGCAUUAGUCAAAGUUCCACCACAUAGCAACCUGCAUUUUCACUGUUGUCUUACUGCUGGUGCAAUGGCAGUAGUGGAAGUAACAGCAAAGACCAUACAUUACUUUCUAGUUAUAUAGCUUGAUUAGAAUUUAACUUUGGUGCUUGUA